GUCCCAGUAGCUUAUAGCAAAGCAUGGCACUGAAGAUGCCAAGAUGGCCCCCACAUGCGGCCCAUGGACA
rnacentral:tRNA from 1 species